UACGGAGGGGACUAGUGUUGUUCGGAAUUACUGGGCGUAAAGCGCACGUAGGCGGAUUUGUAAGUCAGGGGUGAAAUCCCGAGGCUCAACCUCGGAACUGCCUUUGAUACUGCAAAUCUCGAGUCCGGAAGAGGUGAGUGGAAUUCCUAGUGUAGAGGUGAAAUUCGUAGAUAUUAGGAAGAACACCAGUGGCGAAGGCGGCUCACUGGUCCGGUACUGACGCUGAGGUGCGAAAGCGUGGGGAGCAAACAGG
rnacentral:rRNA from 1 species